AAUGAACGUUGGCGGCGUGGAUUAGGCAUGCAAGUCGAGCGAGAACCCGCAAGGGGGACAGCGGCGAACGGGGUAGGACAACGUAGGUAACGUACCCUCGGGGCGAGGACAGCCACGGGAAACUGUGGGUAAUACUCGAUAAUGUUCCCAAUCAUGAUCGAAGGGGAACCAAUGGGUGGUGAUUCCACCCGGGGAGCGGCUUACGCAGUAUCAGCUUGUUGGUGAGGUAACGGCUCACCAAGGCGAUGACGCUUAGGGGAUGUGAGAGCAUGACUCCCCACCACUGGCACUGAGACACUGGCCAGACACCUACGGGUGGCUGCAGUCGAGAAUCUUCGGCAAUGGACGCAAGUCUGA
rnacentral:rRNA from 1 species